GAUUCAGGACACACAUGCAGGCCGCAUACUCCUGUGUUCUCCUGCCUAGCUCACCUUGCCUUAAAUCCAGGUAGAACUCCCAGGGUCAAAGGUAGAAGAUCCCCUUGUCCUGCACUCCCCUGUCCAGAUGUCAUCUCAGCAGGAAGAAUACAUAGAGAAGGCUCUGAAAUUAACAGAGGGCUCUAUCUAGAUUCCAAGAACUGCUGAGCACGCAGGUCCACUUGAAUCUCUUGAAGAGCUGAGUGAGUCCUGUGUGUGCCUAGGCCCUGCCACAGCUCAGGGACCUGGACGGCCUGCCUGUUGAGGGGA